rnacentral:rRNA from 1 species
UGGACGGGAAUAACCUCGGGAAACUGAGAAUAAUGCCCGAUAAAACAUUAUGCCUGGAAUGGUUUAUGUUCCAAAUGAUUUAUCGCCGUAGGAUGGGACUGCGGCCUAUCAGUUUGUUGGUGAGGUAAUGGCCCACCAAGACUAUUACAGGUACGGGCUCUGAGAGGAGUAGCCCGGAGAUGGGUACUGAGACACGGACCCAGGCCCUAUGGGGCGCAGCAGGCGAGAAAACUUUGCAAUGUGCGAAAGCACGACAAGGUUAAUCCGAGUGGUUUCUGCUAAAGAAACCUUUUGUCAGUCCUAGAAACACUGAUGAAUAAGGGGUGGGCAAGUUCUGGUGU